GCGGCGGACGGGUGAGUAACACGUGGGCAACCUGCCUGUAAGACUGGGAUAACUUCGGGAAACCGGAGCUAAUACCGGAUAAUCCUUUUCCUCUCAUGAGGAAAAGCUGAAAGACGGUUUACGCUGUCACUUACAGAUGGGCCCGCGGCGCAUUAGCUAGUUGGUGAGGUAACGGCUCACCAAGGCGACGAUGCGUAGCCGACCUGAGAGGGUGAUCGGCCACACUGGGACUGAGACACGGCCCAGACUCCUACGGGAGGCAGCAGUAGGGAAUCUUCCGCAAUGGACGAAAGUCUGACGGGGCAACGCCGCGUGAGUGAUGAAGGUUUUCGGAUCGUAAAACUCUGUUGUUAGGGAAGAACAAGUACAAGAGUAACUGCUUGUACUUUGACGGUACCUAACCAGAAAGCCACGGCUAACUACGUGCCAGCAGCCGCGGUAAUACGUAGGUGGCAAGCGUUGUCCGGAAUUAUUGGGCGUAAAGCGCGCGCAGGCGGUCCUUUAAGUCUGAUGUGAAAGCCCACGGCUCAACCGUGGAGGGUCAUUGGAAACUGGGGGACUUGAGUGCAG
rnacentral:rRNA from 1 species